UACGUAGGGUGCAAGCGUUGUCCGGAUUCACUGGGUUUAAAGGGUGCGUAGGCGGACAGGUAAGUCAGUGGUGAAAUCUCCGAGCUUAACUCGGAAACUGCCUUUGAUACUCUCUGUCUUGAAUAUGGUGGAGGUAAGCGGAAUAUGUCAUGUAGCGGUGAAAUGCUUAGAGAUGACAUAGAACACCUAUUGCGAAGGCAGCUUACUACGCCUAUAUUGACGCUGAGGCACGAAAGCGUGGGGAUCAAACAGG
rnacentral:rRNA from 1 species